rnacentral:rRNA from 1 species
AGAGUUUGAUCCUGGCUCAGGAUGAACGCUAGCUACAGGCUUAACACAUGCAAGUCGAGGGGCAGCAUGGUCUUAGCUUGCUAAGGCCGAUGGCGACCGGCGCACGGGUGAGUAACGCGUAUCCAACCUGCCUUACACUCUUGGACAGCCUUCUGAAAGGGAGAUUAAUACAAGAUGUUAUCAUGAGUAAGCAUUUUCGCAUGAUUAAAGGUUACCGGUGUAAGAUGGGGAUGCGUUCCAUUAGAUAGUAGGCGGGGUAACGGCCACCUAGUCUUCGAUGGGUAGGGGUUCUGGAGAGGAAGGUCCCCCANAUUGGAACUGAGACACGGUCCAAACUCCUACGGGAGCA